GGCCUACGGGGGGCAGCAGUGGGGGAUAUUGCACAAUGGGGGAAACCCUGAUGCAGCGACGCCGCGUGAGUGAAGAAGUAUUUCGGUAUGUAAAGCUCUAUCGGCAGGGAAGAAAAAAAUGACAGUACCUGACUAAGAAGCCCCGGCUAACUAUGUGCCAGCAGCCGCGGUAAUACAUAGGGGGCAAGCGUUAUCCGGAAUUAUUGGGUGUAAAGGGUGCGUAGACGGAAGAACAAGUUGGUUGUGAAAUCCCUCGGCUCAACUUAGGAACUGCAACCAAA
rnacentral:rRNA from 1 species